rnacentral:rRNA from 1 species
GACGAACGCUGGCGGCGUGCUUAACACAUGCAAGUCGAACGGAAAGGCCCUGCUUUUGUGGGGUGCUCGAGUGGCGAACGGGUGAGUAACACGUGAGUAACCUGCCCUUGACUUUGGGAUAACUUCAGGAAACUGGGGCUAAUACCGGAUAGGAGCUCCUGCUGCAUGGUGGGGGUUGGAAAGUUUCGGCGGUUGGGGAUGGACUCGCGGCUUAUCAGCUUGUUGGUGGGGUAGUGGCUUACCAAGGCUUUGACGGGUAGCCGGCCUGAGAGGGUGACCGGCCACAUUGGGACUGAGAUACGGCCCAGACUCCUACGGGAGGCAGCAGUGGGGAAUAUUGCACAAUGGGCGGAAGCCUGAUGCAGCAACGCCGCGUGCGGGGUGACGGCCUUCGGGUUGUAAACCGCUUUCGCCCGUGACGAAGCGUGAGUGACGGUAAUGGGUAAAGAAGCACCGGCUAACUACGUG